rnacentral:rRNA from 1 species
CAGGCCUAACACAUGCAAGUCGAACGAAGGCUUCGGCCUUAGUGGCGCACGGGUGCGUAACGCGUGGGAAUCUGCCUUUGGGUACGGAAUAACUCAGGGAAACUUAAGCUAAUACCGUAUGAUGUCGCGAGACCAAAGAUUUAUCGCCCGAAGAUGAGCCCGCGUUGGAUUAGCUAGUUGGUGGGGUAAAGGCCUACCAAGGCGACGAUCCAUAGCUGGUCUGAGAGGAUGAUCAGCCACACUGGGACUGAGACACGGCCCAGACUCCUACGGGAGGCAGCAGUGGGGAAUAUUGGACAAUGGGCGAAAGCCUGAUCCAGCAAUGCCGCGUGAGUGAUGAAGGCCUUAGGGUUGUAAAGCUCUUUUACCCGGGAAGAUAAUGACUGUACCGGGAGAAUAAGCUCCGGCUAACUCCGUGCCAGCAGCCGCGGUAAU